UUUCUUUUAGAAACAUAAUAUAAAUUUUGUCACAGGGUGCAUGCACAUUGUACUAAAAAUUCUCCUCUCUGUUGUCAGGUAUUUGCUGCAAUGAAACUACACAUUUUUAAAUAUAAUUCAUUUCGCCGUCAUGCAAGACUUUGCAUUGAACCUGCUAUUGUCCACAAGUGGAGAAAUUGGCAGAGUGAAAUGCUAGAACAGCUCAGUCGAAGAGAGAAUGUGAUUGUUGGAGGAGAUAUGAGGGCUGACUCCCCAGGUCACUCGGCCAAGUAUGGGAGUUAUACAAUGAUGGACCUUGCAACUAACACAGUGGUCGACCUACAGUUAGUCCAGAGUAAUGAGGUGGGCGGCAGUUA